AGCACGGCGCCCAUGGGCAGCACAGAGCGCGGAACUUAGAACUGAGAGGGUUGUGUACAGGAUCUCUUGUUCCAAUUACUGACUCUUCGUCUUUCUCGCGUCUCUUCUGGAAUUGCGAUCGUCUCCCCCCUUCCUUCCGCAGAUGGUUGCGUCCGUCCCGCCGUUUUCCUUCGCCGGCAUUCCAGAGCGUGGCGGGGGGCGGGGGCCCCGGCUCCAGUCCUUGUAGGGGAAUCGCGGAGGGACGCGGGGCCGCACGUGACUGGACCGGCUCCGCCCCCGAGCCCGCCGGCGCUGUCCCGGCUGGAAUGCGCCUGUGCAGGAAGUUCGCGUGAAUCAGCGUCUAGGUCUCCUUUACGUGAGUCGGCUGCCAGCGAUGGUUCUGGUUAAAGGGAAAACCUCCUGGACCGCUUCGCCCCUGUCAGGAAUCCUGCAGAGGCUGUACCAGCUCGGACCCAGAAGCAGAUUGCGACCCUGGCGAGACCAGAGCAGUUGUAGAGUUUCUUCUUCAUCUCCAGAGCUCUAUCGCUUGACCCAGGAAAACGAAGGCGCUGUUCUAAAUGAUACGUGUUAAAUAGUCCUAAGACCAGCUGUUUUCUUCAUGGAACAUACGUGAUAUGGUUUAAAGUUAACUCAGAGAAAGAGAUCAUAUGAACCUCAUGGAACUUCCCAGCAAGUGGGCCCAACCCCACUGAAAUCAGUACCUCGAGAAAAGGCUGCAUUAGCACCUGCACUUCACACAGAAUACCACAGAGCGCCAAGUCAGUGAAGCAGUGUUCUUGGUGCUGGUUCCUGCCCACGAAAGCC